rnacentral:rRNA from 1 species
GAUAUUCGUGAAUCAUCGAAUCUUUGAACGCACAUUGCGCCCUUUGGUAUUCCAAAGGGCAUGCCUGUUUGAGCGUCAUUU